AUUGAACGCUGGCGGCAGGCCUAACACAUGCAAGUCGAGCGGAUGAAGGGAGCUUGCUCCUGGAUGCAGCGGCGGACGGGUGAGUAAUGCCUAGGAAUCUGCCUGGUAGUGGGGGAUAACGUCCGGAAACGGGCGCUAAUACCGCAUACGUCCUGAGGGAGAAAGUGGGGGAUCUGCGGACCUCACGCUAUCAGAUGAGCCUAGGUCGGAUUAGCUAGUUGGUGGGGUAAAGGCCUAACAAGGCGACGAUCCGGAACUGGUCUGAGAGGAUGAUCAGUCACACUGGAACUGCGACACGGUCAAUGCUCCUACGGGAGGCAGCAGUGGGGAAUAUUGGACAAUGGGCGAGAGCCUGAUCCAGCCAUGCCGCGUGUGUGAAGAAGGUCUUCGGAUUGUAAAGCCCUUUAAGUGGGGAGGAAGCGCAGUAAGUUAAUACCUUGCUGUUUUGACGUUACCAACAGAAUAAGCACCGGCUAACUUCGUG
rnacentral:rRNA from 1 species